rnacentral:rRNA from 1 species
AUGGGCUGUUUUGAAAUAUAUAAGCAUUUUCAGUUUAGAGCUUCUGGAGAAGAGUCUCCAUGCCGGCUCGCGGUGUGGCAGAGAGCUUCCAGAGCAACGGCCUUGAACAUGACGAUUCCGGAACUGGCGGCCAUGUCGACCUCUUCAUCCCCGACCCUUGCCCAAUCGAAGCACUGGAUGAGCGUGCCAAGAACCAUACCCAUGGUCCUCAUGGCGAGGCUCUCCCCGGGGCACUUGCGCCUUCCCAUCCCGAAGGACAUCAUGAGCUUCCCAUCGGCGCUGCCAUGCUCGAACCUCUCCGGCCUGAACUCCUCGGGCGCCGGUCCGCACUCAGCCGGGUCGCGGUGGAUGGCGUACGCGUUGACGAGCACUAUGGUGCCCGCGGCGACGUCGUACCCGUGGAGCUGGCAGUCGGCGGCGGCCUCGUGUGGUAGCAGCAGCGGCGCGGCCGGGCACAGCCGCAGCGUCUCGCUGAUGAUGCAGUGGAGGUAA